GAGUUUGAUCAUGGCUCAGAUUGAACGCUGGCGGCAGGCUUAACACAUGCAAGUCGAACGGUAGCAGGAGAAAGCUUGCUUUCUUGCUGACGAGUGGCGGACGGGUGAGUAAUGCUUGGGAAUCUGGCUUAUGGAGGGGGAUAACUACGGGAAACUGUAGCUAAUACCGCGUAGUAUCGAGAGAUGAAAGACUGGGACCUUCGGGCCAGUUGCCAUAAGAUGAGCCCAAGUGGGAUUAGGUAGUUGGUGGGUAAAGGCCUACCAAGCCGACGAUCUCUAGCUGGUCUGAGAGGAUGACCAGCCACACUGGAACUGAGACACGGUCCAGACUCCUACGGGAGCAGCAGUGGGAAUAUUGCACAAUGGGGGAACCCUGAUGCAGCCAUGCCGCGUGAAUGAAGAAGGCC
rnacentral:rRNA from 1 species